GUGUUCCCUUUGGCAGCACAUAUGCUAAAAUUGGAACGAUACAGAGAAGAUUAGCAUGGCCCCUGUGCAAGGAUGACACGCAAAUUCGUGAAGCAUUAUUUU